UUGUGAGGGUUUUUACCGAUAUUGUCAUGGCCUUGGUUUAUGGAGGAUUAGGGUUCCCAUUUCGUGUGUUGUUUCAGGGAGGAAAAGAUCUAGGGCUUCGUCAUCUCAGCAUGAUUUCAGAGGAAGAAUUGGGGUUUCACCCAAUCAUCGUAGCUCUCAUCAUUGGAUCCCAGUUCAGAAGCGGAAUUUACGAGAGGAAAGCUUCUCAGCGAACUGUGUACAUGGAAAAUAGGUGGCCCUUCUGAUUUUUUCUGCGAGUUUUAUGAUGAAUCCCAGCUCAUAUCUUCAAUCAGGGAUGUUGACAGGAGAGGUGAUUGGAAAGCCAAGACUUCAAAGGUUAUUGAAUGGGAGAUGCCAAAGCUUUAGAUGUGCUUGCGAAUGUCUUGGGACUCGACUCUGAACGAGACACAUGCACUUAUUAAGAUUUUUAAAGCUCAAGUUUACAGAGUUUGGCACAAGAGAUGACAGAAUAAGUAAUAUUGACGUACAUGUAAUUACCAGUAUUAUCUAUGAGUUUUCCUGCUUGAGAGUAAAUCUUUUCUGGUCAUAUGUAUUUGUAUCAAAUUAGUACUGUAAUAUUGCUAUUGACUUCCAGAGGCUUCCGCACAUUGUGAGUUCUUUCUAUCUGCACAGCUUGUAGCUCAUCAGUUUUUAGCGAGUUUUGCCACAUACUGUAAAUUGUACACCAUUAAUAGUGGAAAUGGAGUCCUUCAAGGUUAAACUCUA